rnacentral:rRNA from 1 species
GAGUUUGAUCAUGGCUCAGAUUGAACGCUGGCGGCAUGCCUUACACAUGCAAGUCGAACGGCAGCAUGAUCUAGCUUGCUAGAUUGAUGGCGAGUGGCGAACGGGUGAGUAAUACAUCGGAACGUGCCCUGUAGUGGGGGAUAACUAGUCGAAAGAUUAGCUAAUACCGCAUACGACCUGAGGGUGAAAGUGGGGGACCGCAAGGCCUCAUGCUAUAGGAGCGGCCGAUGUCUGAUUAGCUAGUUGGUGGGGUAAAGGCCCACCAAGGCGACGAUCAGUAGCUGGUCUGAGAGGACGAUCAGCCACACUGGGACUGAGACACGGCCCAGACUCCUACGGGAGGCAGCAGUGGGGAAUUUUGGACAAUGGGCGAAAGCCUGAUCCAGCAAUGCCGCGUGUGUGAAGAAGGCCUCGGUUGUAAGU